AGGUGCUGCAUGGCUGUCGUCAGCUCGUGUCGUGAGAUGUUGGGUUAAGUCCCGCAACGAGCGCAACCCUUAUCGUAUGUUGCCAGCAUUUAGUUGGGCACUCAUGCGAGACUGCCGGUGAUAAGCCGGAGGAAGGCGGGGANGACGUCAAGUCAUCAUGGCCCUUANGUGUGGGGCUAGAAACGUGCUACAAUGGGAGUGACAGUGAGCAGCUAGGUCGCGAGGCCAAGCUAAUCUCUAAAAGCUCUCUCAGUUCAGAUUGUAGUCUGCAACUCGACUACAUGAAGUUGGAAUCGCUAGUAAUCGCAAAUCAACAUGUUGCGGUGAAUACGUUCCCGGGUCU
rnacentral:rRNA from 1 species